GUACACGCUGUGACUAGCAUAUCAAUAAGCGGAGGAAAAGAAACUAACAAGGAUUCCCCUAGUAACGGCGAGUGAAGCGGGAAGAGCUCAAAUUUGAAAUCUUAAAGGGUUUCCCUUUACGAAUUGUAGUUUAAAGAAGUGUUUUCUGUUGAGGUUUUGGUAAAAGUUCUUUGGAAUGGGACAUCAUAGAGGGUGAGAAUCCCGUAUUUGACCUUUACUUUCAACUUUGUGAUACACUUUCAAAGAGUCGGAUUGUUUGGGAAUGCAGUCCAAAAUGGGUGGUAAAUUUCAUCUAAAGCUAAAUAUUGGCGAGAGACCGAUAGCGAACAAGUACUGUGAGGGAAAGAUGAAAAGAACUUUGAAAAGAGAGUUAAACAGUACGUGAAAUUGUCAAAAGGGAAGCGUUUGACACCAGUGUUGUUUUUCUGGAAAUCAAUUAAAGAACUGUUUAUGCUAAGCUGUUUAGACUUUAUCAGCUAUCUGUUUAGUUUUGAGCUUUUCUUUAAUGCACUUUUCAGUUAACAAGUCAACAUCAAUUUCUUUUGCUGUAAAAAAGCUUGAGGAAGGUGGCUUGAGAUUCGUCUUAAGUGUUUAUAGCCUCUUGCCUAUGCAGUCGGAGAGAUUGAGGUCUGCAGCGUAGAUCCUUCGGGGCUAAAUGCAUUUGUGCUAAGUUAUAGCAUUUUAUAGACAACUUGUUGACUAUGAUUUGUCUUGUAGCUUACUCGCUUAUGUUAUUUUACCUACGCUUAGGAUGUUGACUGAUAUGUAGUCGUA
rnacentral:rRNA from 1 species